UUGCACAAUGGGCGCAAGCCUGAUGCAGCGACGCCGCGUGGAUGAUGAAGGCCUUCGGGUUGUAAAGUCCGGUAAGCAGGGAAGAAUAAGCAACGGGUAAUAUUCGUUGUGAUGACGGUACCUGCCUAAAGCCCCGGCUAACUACGUGCCAGCAGCCGCGGUAAUACGUAUGGGGCAAGCGUUGUUCGGACUUAUUGGGCGUAAAGGGCGUCUAGGCGGGGGAUUAAGUUAGAGGUGAAAGCUACGGGCUCAACCCGUAAAAUGCAACUAAGACUGAUGCUCUUGAGUCCGGGAGAGGAGAGCGGAAUUCCAGGUGUAGCGGUGAAAUGCGUAGAUAUCUGGAAGAACACCAGUGGCGAAGGCGGCUCUCUGGCCUAGGACUGACGCUGAAGCGCGAAAGCGUGGGGAGC
rnacentral:rRNA from 1 species